UUUCCGUAGGUGAACCUGCGGAAGGAUCAUUACUGAGAACCGGGCCCUCGCGGUCCGACCCUCAAACCACCGCGUACCAAACUUUUCGUUGCCUCGGCGGGCCGGGCCUACGCCCACCGCCUCACCCCCCGCUCACCCGGGGAGGCGAGGGGGGUCGCGCCCGCCGCAGGACACCAAAAAAACCGUUUCGUAUGACGAACGUCUGAUAUUCUUUUAGCGAAUGCUAUAAAGUACAACUUUCAACAAUGGAUCUCUUGGCUCUGGCAUCGAUGAAGAACGCAGC
rnacentral:misc_RNA from 1 species